GACGAACGCUGGCGGCGUGCUUAACACAUGCAAGUCGAACGGAAAGGCCUUUUCGGAGGUACUCGAGUGGCGAACGGGUGAGUAACACGUGGGUGAUCUGCCCUGCACUCUGGGAUAGGCCUGGGAAACUGGGUCUAAUACCGGAUAGGACCGCACUUUAGUGUGUGUGGUGGAAAGUUUUUUCGGUGUAGGAUGAGCCCGCGGCCUAUCAGCUUGUUGGUGGGGUAAUGGCCUACCAAGGCGGCGACGGGUAGCCGGACUGAGAGGUUGGUCGGCCACAUUGGGACUGAGAUACGGCCCAGACUCCUACGGGAGGCAGCAGUGGGGAAUAUUGCACAAUGGGCGCAAGCCUGAUGCAGCGACGCCGCGUGGGGGAUGACGGCCUUCGGGUUGUAAACUCCUUUCGCCAGGGACGAAGCGUUUUGUGACGGUACCUGGAGAAGAAGCACCGGCUAACUACGUG
rnacentral:rRNA from 1 species